rfam:Oryza punctata chromosome 8, whole genome shotgun sequence.
AAUAAGUACAGUUUUACACUAUUUUUAUCUAACGUUUGACAGUUCAUCUUAUUUGAAAAAAAUUAUGUUUAGUAUUUUUAUUGUUAUUAGAUGAUAAAACAUGAAUGGUACUUUAUGUGUGACUAAUUUUUUUAACUUUUUUAUAUUUUUUUAAAAUAAGACGGACGAUCAAACGUUGGACACGGAAACCACGACUACACUUAUG